rnacentral:rRNA from 1 species
CACUAUCGUUAACUGAAUACAUAGGUUAACGAGGCGAACCGGGGGAACUGAAACAUCUAAGUACCCCGAGGAAAAGAAAUCAACCGAGAUUCCCCCAGUAGCGGCGAGCGAACGGGGAGCAGCCCGGAGUCUGAAUCAGCUUGUGUGUUAGUGGAACGGUCUGGAAAGUCCGACGGUACAGGGUGAUAGUCCCGUACACGAAAACACACUUGCUGUGAACUCGAAGAGUAGGGCGGGACACGUGGUAUCCUGUCUGAAUAUGGGGGGACCAUCCUCCAAGGCUAAAUACUCCUGACUGACCGAUAGUGAACCAGUACCGUGAGGGAAAGGCGAAAAGAACCCCGGCGAGGGGAGUGAAAAAGAACCUGAAACCGUGUACGUACAAGCAGUGGGAGCACCUUCGNGGUGUGACUGCGUACCUUUUGUAUAAUGGGUCAGCGACUUAUAUUCUGUAGCAAGGUUAACCGUAUAGGGGAGCCGAAGGGAAACCGAGUCUUAACUGGGCGUUAAGUUGCAGGGUAUAGACCCGAAACCCGGUGAUCUAGCCAUGGGCAGGUUGAAGGUUGGGUAACACUAACUGGAGGACCGAACCGACUAAUGUUGAAAAAUUAGCGGAUGACCUGUGGCUGGGGGUGAAAGGCCAAUCAAACCGGGAGAUAGCUGGUUCUCCCCGAAAGCUAUUUAGGUAGCGCCUCGUGAACUCAUCUUCGGGGGUAGAGCACUGUUUCGGCUAGGGGGCCAUCCCGGCUUACCAACCCGAUGCAAACUACGAAUACCGAAGAAUGUUAUCACGGGAGACACACGGCGGGUGCUAACGUCCGUCGUGAAGAGGGAAACAACCCAGACCGCCAGCUAAGGUCCCAAAGUCAUGGUUAAGUGGGAAACGAUGUGGGAAGGCACAGACAGCCAGGAUGUUGGCUUAGAAGCAGCCAUCAUUUAAAGAAAGCGUAAUAGCUCACUGGUCGAGUCGGCCUGCGCGGAAGAUGUAACGGGGCUAAACCAUGCACCGAAGCUGCGGCAGCGACGCUUAUGCGUUGUUGGGUAGGGGAGCGUUCUGUAAGCCGUUGAAGGUGUGCUGUGAGGCAUGCUGGAGGUAUCAGAAGUGCGAAUGCUGACAUAAGUAACGAUAAAGCGGGUGAAAAGCCCGCUCGCCGGAAGACCAAGGGUUCCUGUCCAACGUUAAUCGGGGCAGGGUGAGUCGACCCCUAAGGCGAGGCCGAAAGGCGUAGUCGAUGGGAAACAGGUUAAUAUUCCUGUACUUGGUGUUACUGCGAAGGGGGGACGGAGAAGGCUAUGUCAGCCGGGCGACGGUUGUCCCGGUUUAAGCAUGUAGGCGGAGGUUCCAGGUAAAUCCGGUACCUUAUUAACGCUGAGGUGUGAUGACGAGGCACUACGGUGCUGAAGUGAUAAAUGCCCUGCUUCCAGGAAAAGCCUCUAAGCAUCAGGUAACACGAAAUCGUACCCCAAACCGACACAGGUGGUCAGGUAGAGAAUACCAAGGCGCUUGAGAGAACUCGGGUGAAGGAACUAGGCAAAAUGGUGCCGUAACUUCGGGAGAAGGCACGCUGAUAUGUAGGUGAAGUCCCUGCGGACGGAGCUGAAAUCAGUCGAAGAUACCAGCUGGCUGCAACUGUUUAUUAAAAACACAGCACUGUGCAAACACGAAAGUGGACGUAUACGGUGUGACGCCUGCCCGGUGCCGGAAGGUUAAUUGAUGGGGUUAGCGGCAACGCGAAGCUCUUGAUCGAAGCCCCGGUAAACGGCGGCCGUAACUAUAACGGUCCUAAGGUAGCGAAAUUCCUUGUCGGGUAAGUUCCGACCUGCACGAAUGGCGUAAUGAUGGCCAGGCUGUCUCCACCCGAGACUCAGUGAAAUUGAACUCGCUGUGAAGAUGCAGUGUACCCGCGGCAAGACGGAAAGACCCCGUGAACCUUUACUAUAGCUUGACACUGAACACUGGUCCUUGAUGUGUAGGAUAGGUGGGAGGCUUUGAAGCGUGGACGCCAGUCUGCGUGGAGCCGUCCUUGAAAUACCACCCUUUAAUGGCUGGUGUUCUAACGUAGACCCGUGAUCCGGGUUGCGGACAGUGUCUGGUGGGUAGUUUGACUGGGGCGGUCUCCUCCCAAAGAGUAACGGAGGAGCACGAAGGUUGGCUAAUCCUGGUCGGACAUCAGGAGGUUAGUGCAAUGGCAUAAGCCAGCUUGACUGCGAGCGUGACGGCGCGAGCAGGUGCGAAAGCAGGUCAUAGUGAUCCGGUGGUUCUGAAUGGAAGGGCCAUCGCUCAACGGAUAAAAGGUACUCCGGGGAUAACAGGCUGAUACCGCCCAAGAGUUCAUAUCGACGGCGGUGUUUGGCACCUCGAUGUCGGCUCAUCACAUCCUGGGGCUGAAGUAGGUCCCAAGGGUAUGGCUGUUCGCCAUUUAAAGUGGUACGCGAGCUGGGUUUAGAACGUCGUGAGACAGUUCGGUCCCUAUCUGCCGUGGGCGCUGGAGAAUUGAGGGGGGCUGCUCCUAGUACGAGAGGACCGGAGUGGACGCAUCACUGGUGUUCGGGUUGUCAUGCCAAUGGCACUGCCCGGUAGCUAAAUGCGGAAGAGAUAAGUGCUGAAAGCAUCUAAGCACGAAACUUGCCCCGAGAUGAGUUCUCCCUGAGACUUUAAGUCUCCUGAAGGAACGUUGAAGACGACGACGUUGAUAGGUCGGGUGUGUAAGCGCAGCGAUGCGUUGAGCUAACCGAUACUAAUGAACCGUGAGGCUUAACCUU